UUUCCGUAGGUGAACCUGCGGAAGGAUCAUUACAAAUCCAUCCACGUCUCAUUCCUUGAGACCACGUUGAAAUGUUCCCUAGAGUGUAUGUAUGUAUGUAUGUAUGUAUGUAUGUAUGUAUGUAUGUAUGUAUGUAUGUAUGUAUGUAUGUAUGUGUUGUGGUCUCCUCGACCUUCAGCCGCUUCAUCGGCCGUCCGUCCUGUGGUGGCACACAAUGCAAUACAAUACAAUACAAUACACACUAGGCUUGUAAACUAGUAUCAUCUGUUGCUCAAUUGUAUCUUGCUUGAUUGUAAUGAUCAAGGUAAACAAAGUACAACUUAUAACAAUGGAUCUCUAGGCUCUU
rnacentral:misc_RNA from 1 species